GCUUGUCUCAAAGAUUAAGCCAUGCAUGUUCAAGUAUAGCAAGUGUACAGUGAAACUGCGAAUGGCUCAUUAAAUCAGUUAUAAUUUAUUUGAUAGUGAAAUUGUACAUGGAUAACCGUGGCAAUUCUAGAGCUAAUACAUGCGUAAAGGGUGCUGAAAGGCAUCUGUGUUUAUUAGAUACAACCAACCCCUCGCGGGUUUAGGUGAUUCAUAAUAACCGAACGAACCGCGUUCAGCGGUGAUUCUUUCUACAUUAUUCCCUAUCAGCUUUCGUUUUUUGUGUAGUGGACAAAAAAGGCUUUGACGGGUAACGGAGAAUUAGGGUUCGAUUCCGGAGAGGGAGCCUGAGAGAUGGCUACCACAUCCAAGGAAGGCAGCAGG
rnacentral:rRNA from 1 species